rnacentral:rRNA from 2 species
UGGUGGGUAGUUUGACUGGGGCGGUCUCCUCCUAAAGAGUAACGGAGGAGCACGAAGGUUGGCUAAUCCUGGUCGGACAUCAGGAGGUUAGUGCAAUGGCAUAAGCCAGCUUGACUGCGAGCGUGACGGCGCGAGCAGGUGCGAAAGCAGGUCAUAGUGAUCCGGUGGUUCUGAAUGGAAGGGCCAUCGCUCAACGGAUAAAAGGUACUCCGGGGAUAACAGGCUGAUACCGCCCAAGAGUUCAUAUCGACGGCGGUGUUUGGCACCUCGAUGUCGGCUCAUCACAUCCUGGGGCUGAAGUAGGUCCCAAGGGUAUGGCUGUUCGCCAUUUAAAGUGGUACGCGAGCUGGGUUUAGAACGUCGUGAGACAGUUCGGUCCCUAUCUGCCGUGGGCGCUGGAGAACUGAGGGGGGCUGCUCCUAGUACGAGAGGACCGGAGUGGACGCAUCACUGGUGUUCGGGUUGUCAUGCCAAUGGCACUGCCCGGUAGCUAAAUGCGGAAGAGAUAAGUGCUGAAAGCAUCUAAGCACGAAACUUGCCCCGAGAUGAGUUCUCCCUGAGACUUUAGGUCUCCUGAAGGAACGUUGAAGACGACGACGUUGAUAGGCCGGGUGUGUAAGCGCAGCGAUGCGUUGAGCUAACCGGUACUAAUGAACCGUGAGGCUUAACCUUACAA